UACAGAGGGUGCGAGCGUUAAUCGGAAUUACUGGGCGUAAAGCGCAUGUAGGUGGUUUGAUAAGUUUGAUGUGAAAGCCCCGGGCUUAACCUGGGAAUAGCGUUGAAAACUGUAAGACUAGAGUCGGACAGAGGGUGGAGGAAUUUCCGGUGUAGCGGUGAAAUGCGUAGAGAUCGGAAAGAACACCAGUGGCGAAGGCGUCUGCCUGGGUCCAGACUGACACUGAGGUGCGAAAGCGUGGGGAGCAAACAGG
rnacentral:rRNA from 1 species